AUUGAACGCUGGCGGCAUGCCUUACACAUGCAAGUCGAACGGUAACGGGCCUUCGGGUGCCGACGAGUGGCGAACGGGUGAGUAAUACAUCGGAACGUGCCCGAUCGUGGGGGAUAACGAGGCGAAAGCUUUGCUAAUACCGCAUACGAUCUACGGAUGAAAGCAGGGGACCGCAAGGCCUUGCGCGGACGGAGCGGCCGAUGGCAGAUUAGGGAGUUGGUGGGAUAAAAGCUUGCCAAUCCGACGAUCUGUAGCUGGGCUGAGAGGAUGAUCAGCCACACUGGGACUGAGACAGCGCCCAGAACCCGACGCGAGGCAGCAGUGGGGAAGUUUUGCCAAUAGGCGGAAGCCUGCACCAGCCGUCCCGCGUGCAGGAUGAAGACCUUCGGAUCGUAAACUGCUUUUGUGCGGGAAAAAAAGCCUUCUUUUGAAACAGAGCGGUCGUGACGGUAACGUACCAAUAAGCACCGGCUAACUACGUG
rnacentral:rRNA from 1 species